rnacentral:rRNA from 1 species
GACGAACGCUGGCGGCGUGCCUAAUACAUGCAAGUUGAGCGCUGAAGGUUGGUACUUGUACCAACUGGAUGAGCAGAGAACGGGUGAGUAACGCGUGUGGAAUCUGCCUUUGAGCGGGGGACAACAUUUGGAAACGAAUGCUAAUACCGCAUAAAAACUUUAAACACAAGUUUUAAGUUUGAAAGAUGCAAUUGCAUCACUCAAAGAUGAUCCCGCGUUGUAUUAGCUAGUUGGUGAGGUAAAGGCUCACCAAGGCGAUGAUACAUAGCCGACCUGAGAGGGUGAUUGGCCACAUUGGGACGGAGACACGGCCCAAACUGCUACGGGAGGCAGCAGGAGGGAAUCUGGGGCAAUGGACGAAAGUCUGACCGAGAAACGCGGCGUGAGUGAAGAAGGUUUUCGGAUCGUAAAACACUGUUGGUAGAGAAGAACGUUGGUGAGAGUGGAAAGAUCAUCAAGUGACGGUAACUACCCAGAAAGGGACGGCUAACUACGUG